rnacentral:lncRNA from 1 species
CCAAGAGCUAAGGUCAGAGCCCAUUAGAAGAGGGUGGGGAAAGAGGCUGUGUGGAGAGAGAUUCAUGGCUUUCCAUUGUACUGGAAUUUAACUGGAAUGAGUGAAGCUGGUGUCCUCUGACCUCUGGUACAAGAGGGACUCAAAAAGCUCACACCUGGAUGUGACACGACCUUUCUGCUCUCAUUGGGAGGACUUAAUUUCAGGUCAUACCAGGCUUCCGAAGAUGCUGGAAAAUGUCAUUUCUGGCUUAUGCACAGUCUCAACUCUGUCAUAGACAAGAGAGAAAGCUUGCUUGGUCCACGACGCUUCCAGUACAGGCUUGAAACCUGAAGUUUGGAACCAGCUGACACUGGAGCUCUAGAAAGAUAUCCACGUGCCAUCUUUGGGAAGGCCUUGAGGGUAAGUAUUGUUUCUGGUUGGAAGACAGCAAGGCACAGAGAGGAAUAAACUUGGAAUGUCUUCACGAGUAGAUGUCAGCUCUUAACUGUCUUAGCAUUAGCCUGGCCUGGGAUUUCAAUAAAUGUGUGGAAUAAGUGUCUGAGUAAAAGUGAUUCCUCUGGUGGUUCCUAG